GAUGAACGCUGGCGGCGUGCCUAAUACAUGCGAGUCGAGCGAACGGACGAGAAGCUUGCUUCCCUGAUGUUAUCGGCGGACGGGUGAGUAACACGUGGUUAACCUACCUAUAAGACUGGGAUAACUUCGGGAAACCGUAGCUAAUACCGGAUAAUAUUUUGAACCUCAUGGUUCAAACGUGAAAGACGGUCUUGCUGUCACUUAUAGAUUGAUCCGCGCUGCAUCAGCUAGUUGGUAAGGUAACGGCUUACCAAGGCAACGAUGCAUAGCCGACCUCAGGGCGUGGACGGCUAGACGGGAAGUGAGAAACGGCAGAGACUCCUGCGGUGAGCAGCAGUAGAGAAUCUUACGCGAUGCGGGAGUGGCGGACAGUGCAACGCGGCGGGAGUGAUGAAGGUGCACGGAUCGGAAAGCGAUGAUAGUAGGGGGGAUGAAAUGUGUUAGUAACUGUGAUGAUAAUGACAGUACCGAGAGAGAAAGCCACGGCUAACUACGUG
rnacentral:rRNA from 1 species